CCACACACACACACACACAGAGUGUGGUUGGGAAGCGGCUCAUUAGACGAGCCACUUUCUACAGAACAACAUUCUAACUACCUUGCUAGAAAUGGAGACGCUGCCUCCACAGCCGCGACAGAGAGAGGAGCAGUCUAAACCAAAAGGAGGUGGGGAAAGAAGAGGAGGAACACAAAGAGUGUGUGAGGUGAACACUCCCAGGCAGCCUUGGACGCAUACACACUAAAGUGAGGCUCACCAGUCAAAUUGCACAGCAGAUGACUACUGGUUGUGUGUGACAUCAACAAAAACCACUAAAGAAGGGAACAAGCCUGAGGAGCAGAAGAAGAAGCUUUGGAAGAUAACAACGUUCAAGGGAAGGAAAGAUUCCAAAGCAGCGUGGAGGAGAACUACAGAGGAGCAGGGAAUGAGAUUUGUCUGAGUGUCAUCUCACUUUUCUUUCGACUCCUCAUGCAGACCAUCAUCUGUAUCUGAGACAUUAUCCCUCCUAACCCUAAUCUCAACCUGUCUGCUAAUCUCAGGCAGCGUCAGAAGUCUCCUGUGGAUGAUUGAGUGCAUUCAGACGCUCCGCAGGCAAAACUCCUGCCUCGCUCGUCGCCGUCUCCUCCUCAUCAACUGGUCUGCUCACUUCUGCUUUGUUAUUUCUGACACUUAAGUCUGGGGCUCUCGGCUGAGUGAGUGAAAACAACAAGGGCUCUCGCAGAGAGCUACAGAGAGAGGGUUAAACUAUUCUGCUUAACCUCCUGAACCUCCAGCACCUCCCUCUGUAUUAUCACUCCCAAACACCUGCUUGGCUAGAAACACUACAUACUUUCCAUCUGUUCACUCCCAGCCAGUCGAAGGAUGGAUGCCGGAGAACAGACGCUGACCCUUCUGAGCAGGGUAUGGGUGAAGCUGCAGAAUCUGCCCAGCGCCAACGGUAUAGAUCUGGGGGCUUUCUUCGUCCUGCUCACUUUCAUCUUGAUGGUGGUGGCUAUUGCAGUGGUGACCUGCUUGAGCUGCUGCUGCUGCUGCCGCUGCUGCAAGGCCAAGAUGAAGGGACCGAAUAUCUGAACAAAUGUGCUCCACACGAAGAGAACUGCAAUUACAUGUGCAAUAACUGGACUUGCAACUCCCACAUCAGGCAUCUAAGCACAGACAAAAGGGUUGCAAGAGUUUCUCUGCAGCUCUCGACUCCGGCUGCGACUCAUGCCCAUGUAAUUCAUAGGCCCGACAUUCAAGAUGGGUGUGUACGGUGGCACAGAAGAGGCCAAACCCUUGAACAAUAAACUGAAUUGUCAAGCACAGAGAGGGGUGUCCUGACUGCCUGCCAGGCACACCUGCAAAAAGCUGCAUGGUUUUCAGGAGAAUCCACAUUCCAUGGAGCAUCCCAGCUCUCUGCAGGGCAACAACAACCCUCCUGAUGUGGGGAGAAGGCCGGGCCACACCCAAAAGGCAACUCUAAAUUAUGCUGGGGGAAAAUACAUGGAAUUUGAGCUGGGAAAAUUUGGAGAGCCAUUAAAAAUAAUAAAAUAAAUAGGAUAUCAACAGUAAAAGUAAGAUGUGAAUUGUAUAUUGCUUUAUUAAUGAGUCAUUGUUGAGGAGUUGGGUAAGAUUCUCCUGAGGGGGAAGUUGUUUCAGAGCUGGGAGGUGAAGAGAGAUCAAGUCUGCCCUCUGCUGUACGCAAACUGAAAUAGCAUGUGUAUGAUGAAAGUUAUACUAUGCAAGACGUACUAGAAAAGGUGAAAUGGAUUGUGUAAUGAAGUGAGGCUUUGACUCACCACUUAUUGUACUGCCUACUGUAAAUAAUAAACAAAAAGUGAGAGUGAUUCCUUCACUUACCCUUCUUUCUCACAGAACGACA